rnacentral:rRNA from 1 species
CACGUAGGGCGCGAGCGUUGUCCGGAAUCAUUGGGCGUAAAGAGCUCGUAGGCGGCCUGUUGCGUCCGCUGUGAAAUCCCGGGGCUUAACCCCGGGCGUGCAGUGGAUACGGGCUGGCUGGAGGCAGGCAGGGGAGAACGGAAUUCCCGGUGUAGCGGUGAAAUGCGCAGAUAUCGGGAGGAACACCGGUGGCGAAGGCGGUUCUCUGGGCCUGUACUGACGCUGAGGAGCGAAAGCGUGGGGAGCGAACAGG